GACGAACGCUGGCGGCGUGCCUAAUACAUGCAAGUCGAGCGCUGAAGGCUGGUACUUGUACCAACUGGAUGAGCAGCGAACGGGUGAGUAACGCGUGGGGAAUCUGCCUUUGAGCGGGGGACAACAUUUGGAAACGAAUGCUAAUACCGCAUAAAAUCUUUAAACACAAGUUUUAAGUUUGAAAGAUGCAAUUGCAUCACUCAAAGAUGAUCCCGCGUUGUAUUAGCUAGUUGGUGAGGUAAAUGCUCACCAAGGCGAUGAUACAUAGCCGACCUGAGAGGGUGAUCGGCCGCAUUGGGAGGGGGACAGGGCCCAAACUCCUAGGGGAGGCAGCAGUAGGGAAUCUUCAGGAAUGGACGAAAGUCUGACCAAGCAACGCCGCGUGAGUGAAGAAGGUUGUCGGAUCGUGAAACUCUGUUGGUAGGGAGGAACGUUGGUGAGAGUGGAAAGCUCAUCAAGUGACGGUAACUGCCCAAAAAGGGACGGCUAACUACGUG
rnacentral:rRNA from 1 species